GACGAACGCUGGCGGCGCGCCUCACACAUGCAAGUGGAGCGAGAAGCCGGGCUUCGGCCCGGUGGAAAGCGGCGAACGGGUGCGUAACACGUGAGCAACCUGCCCCGAAGACCGGGACAAGCCGGGGAAACCUGGUCUAAUACCGGAUGUCCCCUCCUGAUCGCAUGGUCGGGUGAGGAAAUGGAUUCCGCUUCGGGAUGGGCUCGCGGUCUAUCAGCUUGUUGGUGGGGUAACGGCCACCAAGGCGACGACGGAUAGCUGGUCUGAGAGGACGAUCAGCCACACUGGGACUGAGACACGGCCCAGACUCCUACGGGAGGCAGCAGUGGGGAAUCUUGCGCAAUGAGGGAAACCUUGACGCAGCGACGCCGCGUGCGGGAUGAAGGCCU
rnacentral:rRNA from 1 species